rnacentral:tRNA from 3 species
CCUUAUAGUUGAACUAACAACAUUAAAUUGCAGCUUUAAAAGUGUAUACCUACUAAGGUUU